GCUUAGCCCUAAACAUAGAUAGCAAACAUACAAUGCUAUCCGCCAGAGAACUACCAGUGAAAAACUAGAAACUCCAAGGACUUGGCGGUGCUCCAUACCGACCUAGAGGAGCCUGUCCUAUAAUCGAUAAUCCACGCUACACCCCACCACCCCUUGCAACUCAGCUUAUAUACCGCCGUCGUCAGCCUACCUUGUGAAAGAACUAAAGUGGACAAAAUAGUUAUUAACAAAAACGUCAGGUCAAGGUGUAGCCCAUGGGGUGGAAGAGAUGGGCUACACUUUCUACCUCAGAACACACGAAUAGCACAGUGAAACCUGAGCUUGAAGGCGGAUUUAGUAGUAAGGUAAACAAGAAAAUUUACCUGAACCCCGCUCUGGAG
rnacentral:rRNA from 1 species